rnacentral:lncRNA from 1 species
AUCGUGAACUCUCGUCAGCUCCCAAGACCUGCUGACUCAGAAGCUCUGGGGAUGGGGCUGGCAGUCUGGGUGUGAAUGCCCUCUGAGGUUGCUGUGGAGACUCCUGAGGUCACCUGCAUCCGCCAAACUCCGCCUGGGGUUCCCUUCGUUAUCAGCAGAGCACAUAGACACAUGUCUGGAUUUGUUUAUUCAUUGUCUUUUCAAAUAUAGUGUACUCAACAUGGAAAACAGAAGGAGGAGGAAGAGAAUGGAGAAAGAAAGCAUGAAAACUGAACCUCUCCUCCAUGCCCCUUUCUCAAAGCCACUCCUCCAGGGGUACCCCGUCUUUCUGUGCCUUUAUCAAUGUGUGUGGGCAGUUUUGAUUUACACAUAGAAGACCAUCAAAGUGCAUUGCAGCUUGCUUUUUCACAUAAUGUAAAUACUUCUGGUAUCUGCAUAUAAACACCAGCAUUGACAUUUUUAAUGAUUUUGUAGCAUUUUGAUGUAUGAAUUGCAAUAAUUUCAUUACAGUAAUGUUUUCCCUAAAAAUGGACAUAUCGAUUGUUUUCAACGUCUCCUUUUGC